rnacentral:rRNA from 1 species
CAGCCGCCACGGUAAUACAGAGGUCUCGAGCGUUGUUCGGAUUCAUUGGGCGUAAAGGGUGCGUAGGCGGCGGGGCAAGUCUGAUGUGAAAUCCCGGGGCUCAACCCUGGAACUGCAUUGGAUACUGCCUUGCUAGAGUACUGGAGAGGAGAUUGGAAUUUACGGUGUAGCAGUGAAAUGCGUAGAUAUCGUAAGGAAGACCAGUGGCGAAGGCGAAUCUCUGGACAGUUACUGACGCUGAGGCACGAAGGCCAGGGGAGCAAACGGGAUUAGAUACCCCCGUAGUCCCUGUCUCUUAUAU